rnacentral:piRNA from 1 species
UCCAAGAAAAAAGAGCUGAGCAAGGAAAGG